rnacentral:lncRNA from 1 species
AAAACCCAUCAGUUCCAUUGUGAAGGUCUUGGUAUGAAACCUUGGCUAGCGGGUCAGUUGUUGGUGAAUUAGAAUACUGUUUCUGGUUUCUUUUCCUCAUGCAAUAGAUAGUUAGGAAAAUUGUCAUCGUGAGAAGAAUAGAUACCACACUAACAAUCACUACUAUCAAUUUGAUUUUACGUUGUUUUGAAUGUUUCAGACGUUUAACAGGGCAUGGCUGUAGAUGAAGCUCUGAAAUGCCUCCACAAAGCUUAUUGUUUCCGGUCACAGCUAACCUGCUUAUAUUUCCAAAGACACCAUCUAUUGGUACCUCGCCUUCCAACACGUUGAAAGAAAUAUUCAAGUGUUCUAGCACUGAUAUAUUUUGCAGAACAUUAGGAAUUGGUCCAGACAACCGAUUUCUUGACAAGUCUAUAUAUUGAAGACCUUUUAGUGAAGACAAAGAAGAUGGUAUGGUUCCGUUGAAGGAGUUACCUUGCAAAUAGAGGUAUUCUAAGUCUAUGCAUUCACCGAUGGUUCUAGGAAUGUCUCCAGACAGAUGAUUUUCUGAGACAUCUAGCAUGUUUAUACUUAGUAGCUUACCCACUUCUUUGGGUAAGCUACCACUCAAUGAGUUUUUUGACAAGUUCAAUAAGUUUGUUAAGGAAGAAAGACUAAAGAGCUCUAUGGGUAUGAUUCCUCUAAAAUUGUUUUGUGAAAG